AUUGAACGCUGGCGGCAGGCUUAACACAUGCAAGUCGAGCGUGCGGCGGUCGGGUGAGUAAUGCCUGGGAAACUGCCUGAUGGAGGGGGAUCACUACUGGAAACGGUAGCUAAUACCGCAUACCAUCAGAUGUGCCCAGGUGGGAUUAGCUAGUAGGUGGGGGAACGGCUCACCUAGGCCACGAUCCCUAGCUGGUCUGAGAGGAUGACCAGCCACACUGGAACUGAGACACGGUCCAGACUCCUACGGGAGGCAGCAGUGGGGAAUAUUGCACAAUGGGCGCAAGCCUGUUGCAGCCAUGCCGCGUGUAUGAAGAAGGCCUUCCGGUUGUAAAGUACUUUCAGCGUAGAGGCGUUACCCGCAGAAGAAGCACCGGCUAACUCCGUGCCAGCAGCCGCGGUAAUAC
rnacentral:rRNA from 1 species